rnacentral:tmRNA from 1 species
GGGGAUGACAGACUUCAAUGGGGAAGGCUGGUCACGGAUUGCAGGCCGAUGUGCCCUACCCUCGUUAAUUCGGGGCAAAACCACAGACCCCAACGCAAGAGCCAAUCUUGCGGCGCUUCCGAUGGCUGCGUAAGCAGCCUAGGAUUGNNGAUGGGUCUGGACCAGGCGUCAUAGCAAUCGGACUGCGGCGCUCCCGACGGCGAUAAGGAGGGCCAAAGCCGGAGUUUCCCGGAUCGCCUGGCCUGCUUCACACUCCGUCGGUCGAGGGUGAAGCGGGUGAGAAACAAAAGGCCGACUAAGCUUGUAGUAUAUCCGUGGUCGAGUUCUCUGGACGCGGGUUCGAUUCCCGCCCCUUCCACCU